AUGGCGCGGCGGUCCUCCGCCCUCGCGCACCCAUACUCGCACGACGACCGCGUCCUCCACAAGAUGGUAAGCGCCCCGGCCGCUCACCCGCAUUUCCUCGGCAGCAGGGCUACCCUUGCGGACCAUGCGGCAGCGGUGACGCUCUUCGGGCACCCCCGCGGUCAGCUGAGCCUGGCCAUCUAUGAGGACACCCGGGCGCCACCGGCGUUCCUCGUCGAGCUGCCCAUGCUCGCGGCCGGGCUGCACAGGGGGGGUGACCACAGGACCUUGAGGCUGGCGCUGGAGAGCGACACCCGCAGCGCGCGGCCACCACUCCUGUCCAACGACGAGCGGCACGUGCUGCAGCUGCUGGGCGUCGGGGUGCUGCUGCCGCCGCCUGCUGACGGCUCCAAUUGCCCCGACGGCGUCCUACUCCCGUGUCUGCUUAGGAUUGAAGAGUGCUGA
rnacentral:rRNA from 1 species